GCCCUGGCCUUGCUGGCCUCUCACCUGGCCAGCCGGGCCCUCAGCCAUGCCCCUCGCCCCUUCUAGCUCCAGAACUCCUCCUUUCCCUUCCCCAUCUUUGCUCUAAAGCCAGGAGCCCAGACAGGUCAGGAGUGGCUGUGACCUCACAGGGCGGCUCACAGGCUCACAGGCGGACCUCAGCCUUCCCUCCUCUCUGGCGCUUCCCCAUCUUUCUCUAACCACCUGUUUCUGGGCCUGAGUCCCCCAGGCCUUCAGCUCCUUGAAAGCAGGCCUACGGAGGCCUCUGUGCAGUGUGCUAAGUGCGUGAACAGCACAAGGUCCCCUAGUGGGCAGAGGGGUGUGUCCAGGUGGGACAGGGCCUCUGGGGGACAGGACCUCACAGGGGGCUUGUGGUGGGGUCCUCUGCCCCCAGCACUCCCAACAGGAAUUGACGUGGCUUUCUGCUAACCAGACUCCAAGAAACUGACCGAGAACCCAGGGUGGCCAAGUCUUAAUUCGCGCAGAUGGCCACACCUGUGGGGGUGAUACCCAGGUGAGCUGCUCAGGGCGGUGGGAAGCCUUAAGCCACAAGCCUAACACCACUGUGUGCAAGGCACUUCCGGGUUCACCAAGCAAGCCCUUUCCCACUCCAUUUGGUAUGGGUGCAUCCCACUGGGGCUGAGGGGUCCUUGGGUCAUUCAGUGCUACAUGGAUGUGGCAUUAACUAAUGUGGACUCCCACGGAGAGAAAAGUCCUGCCUUUUCAAGUCUCCUUCCAGCCUUCCGAUUAGGUCAAGAGAAAGCCUGGGUUAGGUUCUAGGACACCUGGCCGCCUUCGGGACUCCGGGUGAGCACUCAUUUUGUUCAGAGGAGAGCAAGCCCCGCUCAGGCCUCUGGCUGGCAACAGCAUCCAGCUAGAAUUUAAUCCCAUUGUUUCCAUGGUGCUUCUCUUUAUGGUCACUUUCUAUUUCUGGCAAGUGAUAUUUGUUCUCUAUUUGUGAUGAGGUAAGUUUCUUUUUUAAGGAAAAAAGUGACUCAAUUUAAGGACAUAACAGAAGAGGUGGGGCUCAGAUGGAACAAGCCUCUCCAGUGCCCUGGAAUGACUGAAGUUUGGGAAACAGAAUGUGCUCUUCCGACCCUCCCAACCACCUGGAUGCUCCUUAUUGCAGUUGCAGCCAGAAGCAUGAAAAGAGCUCCCACUGCAAGUCCAUCAGCCAGCCGUGGGUGACUCCCGCCCUUCUGUGAACCUCAGGUCAUGCAGCAAGUCAGGAAUGGAGCCUUUUCCAACUCUAGGACCCAGUGGUGAUCCUAGGAUCCUGAGUGGUGGACCCCUCAGCCAGCUCAACUCCCCACAGGCAGCUGUCCCCUAGUCCUGGGGACCCUCCUCCACCCAUCUCACGCCAGCCCUGUGAUCCCAAAGGAAGUUACCAACCCCCCUCCCCCAACUUCACUCUGUCUCCCUCACCAGAGUGAUUGGCUAAAGAGUAGGGACCUGACCCAAACUGGGCCAGUUGGAGAGUUUUGGUCCAAAGAUGGACACGUGACGAAACAAACCACUCAAGGUGCUCCCCUAGGAUUUCUCUACUCAGACCACGCCUGGUAGGUGGUGGGAGGCACUCAUCAGUGGUGGAGAGAGGAAAAGAGUGGGGAGCGGAGCCCUGGCAGCAUUGAGGCACUGGCUCUGGCCAUUCUGCAGCCUUUCCCAAGGCCCCUCCUUUGAUUUAGGGAGCUACUCCAGGGGCCUUCAGUAAAUUCCUUCCUGUGUAGCUUGAAUCAGGCUCCUGUCACAGGCGGUAAUGCAUCACAAGAACAUGAACUCUGGAGCCAGCCAGCCUUGACUUUGAGUCCCCUCCAGCACUCACUAGCUAUGCCACCUUUGGCGCGUUACGGAAUAGCGUGUGCCUUAGUUUCCCCAGCUGUAACCCACAUUGGCUUAUUGUGGGACUUAUAUGAGUUAUAAUGGCACCUGGCACACAGGAAGCUCUCAAUAACACCAGCUCUUCAACUGGGAGCAUUCUGGAUCCUACAGCUUCUGGGACCCUUGGCACCUCCCAGGUGGUGCCAAUAGUCAGUCAUUCUGUUCAUCAGAGUAGGCCGGCUUCUUGCUGAAAGCUGGACACUGGCUUUACUUAGUCAUUGAGGCUGCACCAGUCAGGCCUGCCCCCACUGGCCUGCACAGGCCCUGUUUUCACACAGGCAGGAUAGUAGAGCUUGUACGUCUGGCCUUCCAAGGUGGGCAGCCUAGGCCUCAGGGUUGGCUCGGAGACCAAUGCCAGCAACGGACACCGUGAGAUAGACUCAGAAUGCCUCCUCCCUCCAUGGCUAACUUUGUGUUGGGGUCCAGCUCACCACAUAUGGCACCUGGAACAGCACUGGAAAGUGCUCAGGAGGGGCAGAGAUGGUCGUGGCCAGGAGCCCAGCUCCUGCUCCCAAGGACAGCUCCCCUCUCAGGGGCCUGCUCAGUCCCUCACACAAGCAGCUGUCAGCCAGGCUUGCGCCAUCCAGGACUGGUCUGCCCA